rnacentral:rRNA from 1 species
UACGAAGGGGGCUCGCGUUGCUCGGAAUGACUGGGCGUAAAGGGCGCGUAGGCGGAUGGCACAGUCAGAUGUGAAAUUCCUGGGCUUAACCUGGGGGCUGCAUUUGAUACGUGUGAUCUAGAGUGAGGAAGAGGGUUGUGGAAUUCCCAGUGUAGAGGUGAAAUUCGUAGAUAUUGGGAAGAACACCGGUGGCGAAGGCGGCGACCUGGUCCUUAACUGACGCUGAGGCGCGAAAGCGUGGGGAGCAAACAGG